UACGUAGGCAGCAAGCGUUGUUCGGAGUUACUGGGCGUAAAGGGUGCGUAGGCGGUCCUGUAAGUAUGGUGUGAAAUCUCCCGGCUUAACUGGGAGGGUGCGCUAUAGACUGCGGGACUAGAGGGUGGGAGAGGAAAGUGGAAUUCCUGGUGUAGCGGUGAAAUGCGUAGAUAUCAGGAGGAACACCGGUGGUGUAAACGGCUUUCUGGACCAUUUCUGACGCUGGAGGCAACGAAAGCGUGGGUAGCAAACAGG
rnacentral:rRNA from 1 species